AUUGAAAACCAAAAACACGAUUCCUUGUGUUAAAAUCGCAUUUGUUGAACUACUAUAGAGUAAACUGUUGAAUGUGUAAAGAUACUAGACAGUGUAGUUGUGAUUUUGCAGUAAAAACAUGUUUUAUUAUGUACAGAUAACAGGGGAGCUCUAGUAAACACACAUAACUUAAUUCUCCAAAGUGGAUUUACAUAUUCUGAACCAUAUACAUCUUAAAGAUGCUUACUAAAUGUUUAUUUAACAUCUGACAGGAAAAUCUUCUUUAACUAUUAAAGAUGAGCACAUCACAACAUGAAAUAGACAUCUGAGUGAUUGAUGUGUGUGUACUAUUAUGUAGAAUUCACUGUUGCCUACACUGUUUACAACAUAAGUUAUCUAUUGUAUUUGUAGAGUUGAUAAAAUGUGUUGUGUUGGAUAAAAAGCGAGUUAACACAUCAGCAACUACCUCAACAUGUGAAUGUAGUGUUGAGCACAUGAAUCUCAGAGGAAACUUGAAUCUUGUCUGAUGUUACAGGGACAGAUGAUCAUGUGUGUUUAUCCGGUGGAGAGAGGCUGAUGAAGGAACGAUGCCAUCAAAGGCUUUGAAGCUUUUGUGGUGGAGCAGGACCUGCAAGGAAAGGUGACGGCGGCAUUUGUGGGGAAAAAAAGGGAAAACCCGAAACAAAAAUAUAAAGAUGUGAAAUGUCCUCAGACUGGUGUGAGCACUGAGAGCCACAGCAGAUCCUGGAAAUGGUGUAGAGCCAUGGAUGAGACCCUCCAUCACUCCUCCUGCCCUUACUGCCUCAUCUGGACUGAUGUUGCUGUGGUCUCUUCAUCCUCAGUGAGCCCAGAGCCAGCGAGAGCAUCUAGACAAGACCAAAAAACAUUGAGGAUGUGAUUUUGGUCAAGUUUGUUCUGCUGGUUUCCGUUCAUUCAAUGGAGCUUCAAAAGCAUCAUCAAAUAAUGUCAUGAAUCUUCUGGAAGACAGGCUCCAUUGACUGAUACUGAAUGAAUAGAAACUAGCAGGACAAACUUGACCAAAUUCACCUUUUGUGUUCAGAAGGAAGAAAAAUACACAGAGAUUGAACAACGUAAAGUCGAGUAAAUAAUGACUGAAUUUAUAUGUUUGGGUGAACUAACCCUUUAUGCCCCCAAAUAGAAAUUGAAUGAAAUGUACACUACCAGUCAAAAGUUUGGACACGGUAAGGUUUUUUAUAAGCUAAUUUGCAUAGCUAAUUUUUUUUUAAGCUAAGUUCGUCUGCUCACCAAGGCUGCAUUUAUUUGAUUAAAAAUACAGUAAAAACAGUAAUAUUGUGAAAUAUUAUUACAAUUUAAAAUAACUGUUUUCUAUUUGAAUAUAUUUUAUAAAGUAAUUUAUUCCUGUGAUCAAAGCUGAAUUUUCAGCAUCAUUACUCCAGUCUUCAGUGUCACAUGAUCCUUCAGAAAUCAUUCUAAUAUGAUGAUUAGAUGCUCAAGAAACAUUUAUUGUGUACAAUUUUUUUUUUUUUUCAGGAUUCUUUGAUGAAUAGAAAGUUCAAAAGAACAGCAUUUAUUUGAAAUAUAAUCUUUUGUAACAUUAUAAAUGUCUUUACUGUCACUUUUGAUUGAUUUAAUGCAUCCUUGCUGAAUAAAAGUAUUAAUUUCUUUAAUUUCUUUUCAAAAAAAUUCAAAUAAAAAUUCUUACUGACCCCAAACUUUUGAACGGUGGUGUAUAAUGUUACAAAAGCUUUGUAUUUCAGAUAAACACUGUUCUGUUGAACUUUCUAUUCAUCAAGGAAUCCUGAAAAAGAAAUAUUGUACACAAAUAUAUAAUAUAUAAUACAAUUGUACAAAAUAAAUGUUUCUUGAGCAGCAAAUCAGCAUAUUAGAAUGAUUUCUGAAGGAUCAUGUGACACUGAAGACUGGAGUAAUGAUGCUGAAAAUUCAGCUUUGCCAACACAAGAAUAAAUUACAUUUUAAAAUAUUUUCAAACAGAACACAGUUAUUUUAAAUUGUAAUAAUAUUUCACAAUAUUGCUGUUUUUACUGUAUUUUUAAUUAAAUAAAUGCAGCCUUGGUGAGCAGAAGAGACUUUUUAAAUCAUUAAAAAUCUUACCGUGUUCAAAGUUUUGACUGGUAGUGUAUAUUUUACAAAAUUAAUUUUUACUCUAAAAUUACUAUCAAACCAAAGCCAUAUAUCUAACCAAUUUGUGUUUGAAAUUUUAAGUUGAUAUCACAAAAAUUUAAGUUCCCAUGAGAUUUUGUUUAGGCACUGUACCAAAAAUAGCCACGAGGUGUCACCGACAUUCUAUUGAUUUUUUUUAAUGCAUUCUCUAAUAAGUCUGGCCAAUCACUGCUUAAAUCACUACUAAGUUCAGUACUUAGAGAACUGACCGCCACCG